UGGGGAAUAUUGGGCAAUGGGGGAAACCCUGACCCAGCAACGCCGCGUGAAGGAAGAAGGCCUUCGGGUUGUAAACUUUUGUCCUGCGGGACGAAACAAAUGACGGUACCGCAGGAGGAAGCUCCGGCUAACUACGUGCCAGCAGCCGCGGUAAUACGUAGGGAGCGAGCGUUGUCCGGAAUUACUGGGCGUAAAGGGUGCGUAGGUGGUCGUGUAAGUCAGAUGUGAAAGACCGGGGCUUAACUCCGGGAUUGCAUUUGAAACUGUGCGACUUGAGUGCAGGAGAGGGAAGCGGAAUUCCUAGUGUAGCGGUGAAAUGCGUUGAUAUUAGGAGGAACACCGGUGGCGAAGGCGGCUUUCUGGACUGCAACUGACACUGAGGCACGAAAGCGUGGGGAGCAAACAGG
rnacentral:rRNA from 1 species